UGGCUCAUUAAAUCAGUUAUCGUAUAUUUGAUAGUACCUACUACAUGGAUAACCGUGGUAAUUCUAGAGCUAAUACAUGCUUAAAAUCCCGACUUCGGAAGGGAUGUAUUUAUUAGAUUAAAAACCAAUGCCCUUCGGGGCUCACUGGUGAUUCAUAAUAACUUCUCGAAUCGCAUGGCCUUGUGCCGGCGAUGGUUCAUUCAAAUUUCUGCCCUAUCAACUUUCGACGGCUGGGUCUUGGCCAGCCGUGGUUACAACGGGUAACGGAGGGUUAGGGCUUGACCCCGGAGAAGGAGCCUGAGAAACGGCUACUACAUCCAAGGAAGGCAGCAGGCGCGCAAAUUACCCAAUCCCGACACGGGGAGGUAGUGACAAUAAAUACUGAUACAGGGCUCUUUUGGGUCUUGUAAUUGGAAUGAGUACAAUUUAAAUCCCUUAACGAGGAACAAUUGGAGGGCAAGUCUGGUGCCAGCAGCCGCGGUAAUUCCAGCUCCAAUAGCGUAUAUUAAAGUUGUUGCAGUUAAAAAGCUCGUAGUUGAACCUUGGGCCUGGCUGGCCGGUCUGCCUCACCGCAUGCACUGGUCCGGCCGGGCCUUUCCCUCUGGGGAUCCGCAUGCCCUUCACUGGGUGUGUCGGGGAACCAGGACUUUUACUGUGAAAAAAUUAGAGUGUUCAAAGCAGGCCUAUGCUCGAAUACAUUAGCAUGGAAUAAUAGAAUAGGACGUUGCGGUUCUAUUUUGUUGGUUUCUAGGACCGCCGUAAUGAUUAAUAGGGACAGUCGGGGGCGUCAGUAUUCAAUCGUCAGAGGUGAAAUUCUUGGAUCGAUUGAAGACUAACUACUGCGAAAGCAUUCGCCAAGGAUGUUUUCAUUAAUCAGGAACGAAAGUUAGGGGAUCGAAAACGAUCAGAUACCGUUGUAGUCUUAACCAUAAACUAUGCCGACUAGGGAUCGGGCGAUGUUAUUUCUUGACUCGCUC
rnacentral:rRNA from 1 species